rnacentral:misc_RNA from 1 species
AAGUCGUAACAAGGUUUCCGUAGGUGAACCUGCGGAAGGAUCAUUAACACUCUUAUGAAAUUUAUCAACCUUCAUAUACCAUGCCACGCGAACUGUUGCAUCCCUCUCCCCCAAUCCCUAGCGCGAACGGCGGCAGUCAUGGCGGAGGCCUUAAUGAGUACUUGUAUUCAUUAACGCUUUCGGCUGUACGACGACAGUCUAGGUCAGGGCGAGGCAGGUCGUGCGCUUCGUCACCCCCAUUGGCGAAGUUGCUAUUAUAACAUUAUCAUUUCUUUACCCCUGCUAUUAUGAACUGACUGUUGAAUGGACUAUAUCGUAUUGCACUUCUUAAAGGAGUGUCAGUAUGGUAUGGCUCAUCGAUAUUCGUUAUCGAAUCAACAAUGGAAAACACAACUCUUACCAGCGGAUAUCUCGGUUCCC